rnacentral:tRNA from 1 species
GGGCCCGUGGGGUAGCUUGGUCCAUCCUUUUGGCUUUGGGAGCCAGAAACUCCAGUUCAAAUCUGGGCGGGCCCAC